rnacentral:rRNA from 1 species
AUUUUAUGCUCUGUAAUUGGAAUGAUGGGAAUGUAAAACCCUUCCAGAGUAACAAUUGGAGGGCAAGUCUGGUGCCAGCAGCCGCGGUAAUUCCAGCUCCAAUAGUGUAUAUUAGAGUUGUUGCAGUUAAAAAGCUCGUAGUUGGAUUUCUGCUGUGGUCAUCCGGUACCGCCCGUAUGGGUGCGCACCUGGUUUGGCUCCGGCUUUCUUCCUGUAGCCGUCCGCGCUUAAUUGCGUGUGCUGUGUUACGGAACUUUUACUUUGAGAAAAAUAGAGUGUUUCAAGCAGGCUUGUCGCCCUGAAUACUUCAGCAUGGAAUAAUAGGAUAGGACCUUGGUUCUAUUUUGUUGGUUUCUAGGACCAAGGUAAUGAUUAAUAGGGACAUUGGGGGGGGCAUA